UACGUAGGGGGCUAGCGUUGUCCGGAAUCAUUGGGCGUAAAGGGCGCGUAGGCGGCCAAUCAAGUCGGAGGUGAAAGCCCAGGGCUCAACCCUGGAAUUGCCUUCGAUACUGUUUGGCUCGAGACCGGAAGAGGUAAGUGGAACUGCGAGUGUAGAGGUGAAAUUCGUAGAUAUUCGCAAGAACACCAGUGGCGAAGGCGGCUUACUGGUCCGGUUCUGACGCUGAGGCGCGAAAGCGUGGCGAGCAAACAGG
rnacentral:rRNA from 1 species